rnacentral:lncRNA from 1 species
CUUCCAACUAUGAAAAGAAAGGAAUGUAAGAUUGCAAACAACGAGGACAAGGACUGUGUCUGUCAUGUUCAUUAUUACACUUGCAAUGCCCAGAACAGCACAUCGUAACAGACAUUAUUGUUGUUGUGUUUUGUUUUGCAGUAUUGGAGAUGGAACCCAGGACCUUGCACAUGCUAGUCAAGCAUUCUACCACUGAAUUGCAUCCCCUGCGUACAAAUGUGUUUUUACUGACUACUAUUUUCAGACAUGAACUAAACCUCAUGGGUGUUGAGAGAAAACCAGAGCACCGACAAACUGGACUGGACUACAGGUGGUGAAAGGCUCAGAGCCUGUAGGAAACAGGAAGGAAGGCAGAAGAAUUGGAGACCAGCCAGGAGGGACUGGGAACAGCCGGGCUACACUGCUCCUUAGUUACCAAGGGCUUUGUCCAGCCAGAUGUCCUCAGCAUCGCCUUGGUGUUCUCCCUGAAGAAUUUGACUAUUCAUUCUAAAGUCGUCUCAAACGCUGACCACAUUCACAAAUACUCCUCAGAGGCCAAAUACAUUUUUAAAUGCUC